UACGUAGGCAGCAAGCGUUGUUCGGAGUUACUGGGCGUAAAGGGUGCGUAGGCGGCUUUUUAAGUUUGGUGUGAAAUCUCCCGGCUCAACUGGGGAGGGUGCGCCGAAUACUGAGAGGCUAGAGUGUGGGAGAGGGAAAGUGGAAUUCCUGGUGUAGCGGUGAAAUGCGUAGAUAUCAGGAGGAACACCGGUGGUGUAAACGGCUUUCUGGACCAUAACUGACGCUGAUGCACGAAAGCGUGGGUAGCAAACAGG
rnacentral:rRNA from 1 species